UUCCUACCGAGUGCAACAGCAGCAAGUGCAGCAUCAUCGGUAAGUCAAACUUCUAGGGAUAAUUGCUUACUACCUACGCUAAGGUUUCUGGUGGCGCAUUGUCUCGUUUUAGAACUGUUCUAUUUUAUCCGAAAAUUGUUGUAACGCUGGUAAGCGAGUUUCAGCUCAGAAGUUAAUAUUUUGCAUCCAGCAAUUACAAACAUCCUAAAUCACUGUGGCCAGUGAUUAGCACCUACGGGUACGGGCUACUUGCCUUCAGUGUUGUUUACCCACGCCACCAAGAAUUGAAUGAAGAAAUAUCAAAAAUUUAGAACGCAUUCUCUUCUGUGCAAUCCAACCAGCUGAUAACCGGACCAACAAGGCUGGGGCCAGCACCUGUGCCUAACCAUGACAGCCAAGUUGGAAGCCCCUCUGCACUGAUAACCGGACCAACAAGGCCAGCACCUGUGCCUAACCGUGACAGCCAAGUUGGAAGCCCCUCUGCACUGACAACCGGACCAACAAGGCAAGCACCUGUUCCUAACCAUGACAGCCAAGUUGGAAGCCCCUCUGCAGCUCACUGCUGCAGGUGCUCUGCUCCUCGUGCAACUGUUGGC